rnacentral:tRNA from 1 species
UAGAUGAAAGCCAAAGUAGAGGCGCCUAGCUGUUAAUUAGGAAAAUGUAAUUUAAAUUACUUGUCUAG